AAUCCUACCAAGAAGUACUUCUGAGGACUUUAAUAUGUCGUGUCAAAUGCACAGACUACAUCCUUUCCAUCCAGCUCUGCAUUAUGAGGCUUUCCUAACAAGUCAUCACAUGGAGUGUGAUAUUUGCACGGGCAGGGUCAACGAUCUUGAGACUGACAGAUACUUUGGAAUUCAAGAAAAUGACCAUUACUUGUUUCUGCGCAAGGUUUCUUGCAUUGUCAAUAUGUAAUAAUGAAGCCUAUCCAGUGUGCCAAACUCCUACUGGCCAUAUCAUAUGCUACAAAUAUCCAAAAGAAGUUGAUAGAAAUGUGAACAAAAUGCUCGUUGAAGAACUAAAGACU
rnacentral:sRNA from 1 species